CUUGCCUUAUAGAGGCAUGGCAGAUGUUGCUGUGUCACAUAUGUGUCAGUAGAUGGCAGAGAAGAGAGACACUCUUUGCUCAGUAUUUUGACCUGUGAACAUCUAAAUGAUUACUACUCUAACAUU